GCGUUGGCUUCGGCAGCACAUAUACUAUAAUUGGAGUGCUACAGGGAAGAUUAGGAUGGCCCUGUGCAAGGAUGACGUGCAAAGUAAUGAAACAGUCCAUGUCUUA